CCUACGGGUGGCAGCAGUGGGGAAUAUUGCGCAAUGGGCGAAAGCCUGACGCAGCGACGCCUCGUGAGGGAUGAAGGUCUUAGGAUCGUACACCUCUGUCAGUAGGGAAGAACGAUCACGGUGCUAUUCAGCAGUGAAUUGACGGUACCUGCAAAGGAAGCACCGGCUAACUCCGUGCCAGCAGCCGCGGUAAUACGGAGGGUGCGUGCGUUAAUCGGAAUUACUGGGCGUAAAGCGCUCGUAGGCGGUAUGUCAAGUCAAGGGUGAAAUCCCCGCGCUAAACGUGGGAACUGCCUGUGAAACUGGCAAACUGGAGUGUGUGAGAGGAUAGUGGAAGUUCAGGUGUAGGAGUGAAAGCCGUAGAUAUCUGGAGGAACAUCAGUGGCGAAGGCGACUAUCUGGCACACAACUGACGCUGAGGAGCGAAAGCGUGGGUAGCAAACAGGAUUAGAUACCCCAGUAGUC
rnacentral:rRNA from 1 species